UGGGGAAUAUUGCACAAUGGGCGCAAGCCUGAUGCAGCCAUGCCGCGUGUAUGAAGAAGGCCUUCGGGUUGUAAAGUACUUUCAGCGGGGAGGAAGGCGAUAAGGUUAAUAACCUUGUCGAUUGACGUUACCCGCAGAAGAAGCACCGGCUAACUCCGUGCCAGCAGCCGCGGUAAUACGGAGGGUGCAAGCGUUAAUCGGAAUUACUGGGCGUAAAGCGCACGCAUGCGGUCUGUCAAGUCGGAUGUGAAAUCCCCGGGCUCAACCUGGGAACUGCAUUCGAAACUGGCAGGCUAGAGUCUUGUAGAGGGGGGUAGAAUGCCAGGUGUAGCGGUGAAAUGCGUAGAGAUCUGGAGGAAUACCGGUGGCGAAGGCGGCCCCCUGGACAAAGACUGACGCUCAGGUGCGAAAGCGUGGGGAGCAAACA
rnacentral:rRNA from 1 species